GAAAUGCGAUAAGUAGUGUGAAUUGCAGAAUUCAGUGAAUCAUCGAAUCUUUGAACGCACAUUGCGCCCUUUGGCAUUCCGAAGGGCAUACCUGUUCGAGCGUCAGUUGCACAACUCAAGCACAGCUUGGUGUUGGGUGUUUGUCCCCGUCUCCGCGCGUGGACUCGCCCCAAAGUGAUUGGCAGCCGGCGUACUGGUCCCGGAGCGCAGCACAUGUCGCGCAAACGAGUGCCUUGGUACGGCGGCGUCCAUAAGCCCCUCUCUCACGCUCUUGACCUCGGAUCAGGUAGGGAUACCCGCUGAACUUAAGC
rnacentral:misc_RNA from 1 species